AUGGUAAAGCAAUACAGUUGUUCCUCUUUAGAACAAGGCACCAUAAAGAACCCCAAAUAUCUGCAAAGGAAUGACAUCUCAAAUGAGCACCACAGCUCAGGGAGUGAUCCCACACUGCCUAAACCUCCACCAGCUGGGGGGCACAGCUGGUUACAAAUAGCAGCACUGCUUCCUCUAUCCCAGGACUGCAGAUGGGAGCAGAGGAGAAGCAGGACCAGGCUGGUGGUGCUUUGGCUUUGGGUGUCCUGGCUCUUAUACCAGCAGUGUCUGGGGCUGCUUGCCCUGAAGAGGUGCACCAGAAAAAAUGUAGGACGGAGAUUUCCUUCAGGUGUUUCCACUUUGGUCCAGGAAACUACACACCAUUGUGUAUUCGCUGUAACUCACUCGCUGCUGUGGCUGAAGGACAGUCCUGCUAAGAGCUCGAGCGGGCAGCUGGGCAUGCUUUCUGUUUAAUUCAACAGCGUACUGAAACACCCGAUCACCACCCGAGGAAUUUACACAGGGCUCUGCUUCAGUGGGAAGGAGCAAGCGCGAGUGCCUUGGGCUGGCUUAUUUCGUGUCGCGGAUCAGCAAGUUAACCGCACUUGUGCCUCAUUAAAGGGAAGGUGCUGGGGAAACGCAGCCAUGGGGGCCGUGCUGCUCUCCAGCACCACGUUUCUCCCCAGUCCUGCUCAACACCAUCCCCGGGCUGUCAUUAGAUGACAUGGCUGCAAAAGCCGGCGGCGUGAGGCACUCACCCCUCUUGCCGCACGACCGCAGCGCUACCACUGAGUGCGUGAAGGGAAAACGCUUGCAUCAAAACAGGAUGUCGCAAUGGGUAUGCAGCUUUUCCUGACCAGGGAGAAAGCGAUGCAUCGCCCGGCUCGGCCGCGUUGCCUAACACGCCGAGAGGAGAGGCUAGGUGGUAGGCAGCAUGGCUGACUUGUAUUUCUGGUUCUCCUUCCCAUUUUUCCCCCGCACGGAGCGCAGGGCUGGGAGCUGCAGGAGCGGCCGGGAGCGGGGCUGCGGGCACCGUGAGGACCGCGGGGUGACACCGGUGACAGCCCCCCGGUGUCACGCCCGGCGGGACGAAAGCUCCCCCAGCCCGCUUUGAGCGGGCGUGCUCACGGCCGCCUAUGGGAAUUUCUGUGUUGAUGGCUGGGAUUAUCACCCUCGGUCGCCCAACCGGCUCUCCCAGCGGUGCAAGCUCCAGAGGGUGAAAUAAGGCAGGCUGGGGCUGCCGCCCGGCACGGAGAAGAGCAAGGCGCCGUCCCCCCAAACCCCCCGGCACCCCGCACGGCGGCAUCCCCCCCGCAUCGGGGCUGGGCUCGGCGGGCUCCGGCGGAUCAGCCGCCCCCUUCCCCGUCCCCAGCCGCGUCCCGGGGCCCGUCCCCGUCCCGCCCGGGGGGGAAGCGGCGGCUGCCAGGGGCGGGCGGAGUCGGAAGCACGACAGCACGGCGGCCCGGGGCGCUGGGGCGGCGCUGGCGGCGGCGGGAGGAGCUCGGCGCUCGCCGCCCUGCUGGGGUCGCGGCGCACGGACGGAGCCGCGGGAGGAGGAGGAGGAGGAAGGAGGAGGAGCUGCUGCCGCCCCAGGGCGGCUCAUGAGCGCCGGGCUGCGGCGCCUCUGCUCCGCGGGUGAAUGAACCUGUCCCGGCCGGCGCCAGCGGCAUCGCCUUGGGCUGCGGCG
rnacentral:lncRNA from 1 species